rnacentral:rRNA from 1 species
UGAGGAAUAUUGGGCAAUGCCCGCAAGGGUGACCCAGCAACGCCGCGUGGAGGAUGAAUGUCGUAAGAUUGUAAACUCCUGUUAGAGGGGAAGAAUAGUACCGGUUGGACCGGUAUAUGACUGUACCCUCAGAGAAAGCCCCGGCUAACUACGUGCCAGCAGCCGCGGUAAUACGUAGGGGGCAAGCGUUGUCCGGAUUUACUGGGUGUAAAGGGCGCGCAGGCGGGAUAAAAAGUCAGUGGUGAAAUCCUACAGCUUAACUGUAGAACUGCCUUUGAUACUUUUAUUCUUGACUUCGGGAGAGAGAGACGGAAUUCCAGGUGUAGUGGUGAAAUACGUAGAUAUCUGGAAGAACACCAGUUGCGAAGGCGGUCUCUUGGUCCGACACUGACGCUGAGGCGCGAAAGCGUGGGGAGCAAACA